CAGAAGAGAAUGACACUGUGCUAGAUGGAUUUCAGUUGUCCUUCCAGAUCUGCUCUCCACUUCUCCACACUGGCCAGCACCCUUCAUGUGCUGCUCACAAAGCCGAGAGCCACAGAGGAGCACACGGGUUAGUGCACUAGCAACUGAAGUUAGGAAGGCUCGGGUGGACGCUGCCAACCAGCAAUCCAAUCUGCCUGAUGGCCAACCCUUUGACUGCUGGGAGCCUGGAGCUUUCUGAAUCAGACAACUUCCAGACUUCACAUGUGCUGCCAAGCACAAGAUAUAUUCUGGAAAAGAAGAGGAGGAGGAAGAAGAAUGACUGUAAAGGAAGGAGCAGUACUGUUUUCAUGAGGACCUACUAUGUGCCAGACAUUAUUCUAGGUGCUGGGGCUACCAUGGGAAACUUGCAGCUACUUGGGAGGCUAAGGUGGGAAGAUCGCUUGAGCCCAGGAGGUCGAGGCUGCGGUGAACCAAGAUUGUGACACUGCACUCCAGCCUGGGCAACAGAUGCUGUGUGAAGAUGAAGGCAGAGAUCAGGCUGAUGCUUAUGGAAAGCCAGAGAUUGCCAACAAACCACCAAAAGCUAGGAGAGAGGCCUGGAACAGAUUCUCUCUGAGUCCUCAGAAGGAACCAACCCUGCCAACACUGUGAUCUUGGACUUCUAAACCCCAGAACUGUGAAAUAAUAAAUGUCUGAUGUC
rnacentral:lncRNA from 1 species